AACGGCCAUACCAUGCUGAAUAUACCGGUUCUCGUUAGAUCACCGAAGUCAAGCAUCAUUGGGCGCGGUUAGUACUUGGGUGGGUGACCGCCUGGGAACACCGCGUGCCGUU
rnacentral:rRNA from 1 species